rnacentral:misc_RNA from 1 species
AAGUCGUAACAAGGUUUCCGUAGGUGAACCUGCGGAAGGAUCAUUAACACAUCCAUUAUCAUUAUCAACCUUGUCGCAUAGCAAAGAACCUACCUGUGGAGAGCGUCAGUUCGGCAUGGUUGGAUCUGCCUGCUCGUCGGGCAGUUGGCCAACUGGCUAAUCACCCAUGUUCAUCGAAUAUGAGGUGGUGGCUCUACCCGGUAAGGAAUACAGUCUCUGCCAUGGCUGGCCCUAUUUUUUUAUCUUGAAUUCCGGUUUGGAUCGCGGGUUUUGAUUUUAGAUUGAGAGGCUGGUCCUUUCUCUAGUCGGACUCGUAUGGCCUGGAUGUUUUAACUGUCUCUUGAUGGUUGAUAUCUAAGGAUCAUGAAUGUAAACACAACUCUUAACAGCGGAUAUCUCGGUUCUC